CGGACGGGGUGAGUAAUGUCUGGGAAACUGCCUGAUGGAGGGGGAUAACUACUGGAAACGGUAGCUAAUACCGCAUAACGUCGCAAGACCAAAGAGGGGGACCUUCGGGCCUCUUGCCAUCGGAUGUGCCCAGAUGGGAUUAGCUAGUAGGUGGGGUAAUGGCUCACCUAGGCGACGAUCCCUAGCUGGUCUGAGAGGAUGACCAGCCACACUGGAACUGAGACACGGUCCAG
rnacentral:rRNA from 1 species